AGAAGGGUACCCUUGACUCUGGGAGCAUCCUGCACCUGUAAGAGUGACACUCUCAGGCCAAAGGGCCAUAAGCAGUGCCCAACCUUUGCCCAACAUGCGUAGCCUUCAACCUUUGAAAAAGGCAGCCUGGCUUUGCAGAUUGUACACACUGAAGAUGGAAGAGAGGCCUGUUCUUCAGAGAUAGGAAUGUUUCUACCUCCCUCUCUGAAUGCUUGCAACCCCCCAAUUCUAUCAUUCAGUUGAAUGGAAGACUCCCUGUUACAGGCACUUAGCACAUUUUUCACAGGCAUCUAGGGCUGCUUCCAUCUUGUGCAGCUCUAAACCCUCACUUACCCUCGCGUCACCUCUGCUAUCUCACCUGCAAAGUCAAGGCCGGAUGAGGCACCUCAGCACCUCCUCUACUUCUGUGAGCUUUAAUAUUAUUACUGAAUAUUACAAUCAAAGAAGAAACCUAUUAGAAGUAUCCCACUUCUCUAAGAGACAGACUUAAAAGCGCUGUCAGAGAGAAAGAAACAUGACACAAGAACAAAUGACCCCAGGGUUUCCGGUUCGCCCCCAUUUCCAGGCCUGAGACCAUGAGAACAACUCAGCUGCAAAGAGAGAAGUGGAACCUUUAAAGUACCAUGUCCUCACAGCGAUCUCAAAGUGGAAGAGAGGGAUGCUACAGAGGGAGAUUCGAGCCUGGGGAAGCGGAGACCUUAGCCUACCCAGGUUCCUACGUUGAACAGUCUUCCAUCUUGGAUACUUUCCACUUCUGUUUUGUUUUAAUAAAAAAAAUUCAACAUUCCAAGAAGUAAAUUAACUCUGGGAAGCAGCUAUGAAAUACUAGAUAGUUCUGUUUUUGUGUGUCUUUUACAAUCAUGGUCUUCCUUGUCGGGUGGUGAUCUACUCAAAAGGAUUUCCAGUUCCCUAGUGUCUCCAGCCUGGUCAUGUUUCAUUCUCGGCUGAUUUGUCAAGACUUGUUGAAGGUGGUGGUGCACGCCUUUAAUUCCAGCACUCAGGAGGCAGAGGCAGGUGGAUCUCUGAGUUCACGGCCAGCUUGGUCGACAGAAUGGGUUCCAGGACAGCCAGGGCUACACAGAGAAACUAUCUCACCAAAGAACGAAUAAGCAAACGAACGAAUAAGCCAAAAAAGCCAAACCCUUUGUUUUGCUGCAAAUUUUAGGGUAGUUCAGUGACAUAGCUGUUAAAGUGAGGAAUUUCCUGAGAGAUCUAGAAGCUUCCAUGCUGGAGACGUUGCUUUGGAGAUGAGUGGCUCUGCCAGGCUGCCACCUGUAUUGGACAUGUCACUCUGGUUAGGGUGCUGGGCACCUGGGCCUUCUCACACCUCCUCUCUUUGCUUGUUUUUGGCAUCAGGCCCGGUGCCUUACUCACCCUCUCACCCUUGAGUCUUGUCAUGGUUUCUUGACCACUGGUGCAUUUCCACUGACACGAAGCAGAUGCCCCUCCCCCCAUGGAAGGAAGCACAGAAACCACUCUGUUCUCAGUGGCCAUCAUUCUUCCCAGUCACAGGCUUCAUAAUGCAGAUGAGUUUCCUGCCGAGGAAGAUAGGCCAGGUCACAAGUCAAAAGAAAAAUAAAAAACAACAAGCCAAAGCAGCCCUUGAGUAAGCAGAGGCAAAAACCUAGAGCCACUGGGGAAAAGAACACAAGGAACAGACAAGGGGAUAGUCUGAGGUGUUCUUUAGGAGAAUAUUGAUUUAGAUGGAUUUGACAGUGCCGCAGUGCAUGAAUAACAGAGGUAGGGAAUGAGAGAUUGGACUGGAAGGGGAACCUGCUGAGCAUUUUCAUCUUUGAGCAGAACAAGGAGCUAAAAGGGAAUUGGAAAGGCGGAUCAGCCCUCAAGGCCUUUUCUGGUGUCUCCCUUUGAGCAGCUGUCGUUCUGAAGAGCAGACCAUUGCUUCACUCUGGCAUUCCAGGAAGACUCACAGAGCUGAAAGGAGCUCUUCACUGCUUCAUUGUUAGUGGGUAGAAUCCUGUGACUCCGCGUCAAUAUUUUCUUAAUGGACUCCUUGGCCCUUGACAGUCCAUUAUCAGUUAUACACACCUUUUGGUGAAUAAGGUUAUCACAGCUUCUCCAAUGGUUGUGGGAGAAACAUGUUUUAAAAAGGAGGAGGAGGAGGAGAAAAAGGGGGGAGGAGGAGGGGAGGAAGGGAGGUGAGAGGUGGAGGAGGGAAGAUGAAUAUGCAGGACUCAUGCAUGUUGCAUCAGCUUGCUAGAGAAAUGCAAAUCUGCAUGACUUGUCUACUGAAAGGUUAUAGACUUAUCAUAUGUGAGUGUGUGCCGGGCUGCCUCCACGUGCUGCACAAACCUGCUGCCCUGCUGACAUUAGAUCAGAAGAGACAGUAAUCAAUCAGAGCAAAAGGUGGUAGAGGGAGGUCUCUGCCUUCACUUCUGUUUAACCUUAGUCUGGCCAAGAUUCUUCUGACCCAAGACCAGGUAAGUACCUACCUCCAAUUUAGAAGUUCUGUGGGUCCUUGGGGUCUUGUUUCUACAACUUUGCUCUUGUUUAUCUCUCUGCAGUCAAGCAGUUGCCUAGCAUAGCAACACUGCACCCAGCACCCUGUCUCGAGUUCCCUUUCUUGUGAGAGCAAGGAGCCCAAUUUCCAGUGAGAGCAAGGCCUAGCUUCUGUCACCUUUCCCAGAAUCAAUCUGUGCCUGUGGCCAGUAGACCACAGGUGAUUUAGGGACUGUUGGAUGGAAGCCCGUCGGACCUCAAGUUGGGCAUUAGCAGAUGUUUGCCUUUUCUGCCCCCUGUGAACCUCAGAUGCCCUUGAGUUUGCCUUGUGUUCUGGUGUUUGGCUCCUGCCCUCUGCGUGCUCCAGUCCCUGAUCAGCACCCCUCACAGUACUGUCCCCACACCCUUCCUGUACCGGAGGACACUUGCUUCACUUGAGUUCACUGGGGUUAUAGGUUUCAAACAAAUGCCCUUGGAAUUCUAAUUAGCUUUGGGAUGAUUUAGGAAAGCAGGCCUCUGUGGUGAAAAACAGCUCAUCUGAUUUUUGUUUGUUUGUUUGUUUUGUUUUAUUUCCAAAUUUUACAAAGAAUCCCUUAAAGAAUAUUUUCCCUAGGACAUUCUCCCCUGACUGUGAAUGUGAGGAAAUUAAUAAAGUAGAUGAGGAACUUACUUUGAAACCUAAAAGAUGACUUUAAUUUAUGAGCUAGCCCACAAAGUCUCUUUUUAUUACCUUGGUGUUUUUGGAUAAAUUUCUAAUUCUUGAAGGUAUAUAUGUGGAGUCACUGGUUUCUCCUCUCAUUCUACUGAGCUUAGCACUGUGCUUCCCCCAUAUGUCAAGACCCUUCUUCUUGGCUUCUUAAACCCUGGCUUUGAAAACAUAUAACCAAGUAAGAAGCGACAACAAUAACAAAAUGGAGUAGAGAAAAAUGUCAGGAAAUAACAGACCCUGCAAGCUGAUUUUCCUCAGGCUUUGGUGUGGAACUCACUAGGACCUUAGGUCCCAUAUCCUCUCUGUGCUGCAGCUGCCUCUUCUUGUCCGUCCCCAUCCAUGACCCUGCUUUCUGUCCAUCUGUCCUUGAGGCUACAAUCCCACAGGUUCUCAGGUGACUUGAGGGCUUCUCAGUCAGGGCCUUUUUUGAGUCAUUCUGCCUCCGUCAGAUGGCAGUUCAGGGCCUGAGAAAGGGCUGUCACACAGCUUCCAGGUCUCAAACUGGCUUCAUAAUCUCUAUAGGAAGUGGUCAUGAUGCCAUCAGACCUGUUGAACUCUCAUGUACCUUUUCAGAGCCCUCUAGAGGGGGGCCCUGGCCACCAAAGCUGUAGCCAUGGCCUCUGGGUUAAACCCAGGCCUCUGGCCUCCUUCUCUGAAGGUCGUUGAGAGGGAUGCAGAGCAGGUCUGAUGAGUAACCCCUCCCCCCGGGCCCCAGAGGGAGAAGCCUCA